ACUCCUACGGGAGGCAGCAGUGGGGAAUAUUGCACAAUGGGCGCAAGCCUGAUGCAGCCAUGCCGCGUGUAUGAAGAAGGCCUUCGGGUUGUAAAGUACUUUCAGCAGUGAGGAAGGCAGGUACGUUAAUAGCGUGCUUGUUUGACGUUAGCUGCAGAAGAAGCACCGGCUAACUCCGUGCCAGCAGCCGCGGUAAUACGGAGGGUGCGAGCGUUAAUCGGAAUUACUGGGCGUAAAGCGCAUGCAGGUGGUUUGUUAAGUCAGAUGUGAAAGCCCGGGGCUCAACCUCGGAAUUGCAUUUGAAACUGGCAGACUAGAGUACUGUAGAGGGGGGUAGAAUUUCAGGUGUAGCGGUGAAAUGCGUAGAGAUCUGAAGGAAUACCGGUGGCGAAGGCGGCCCCCUGGACAGAUACUGACACUCAGAUGCGAAAGCGUGGGGAGCAAACAGGAUUAGAUACCCUGGUAGGAUAGCG
rnacentral:rRNA from 1 species